rnacentral:rRNA from 1 species
AGUAGCAAUAUUUAGCGGUUUUAGUGGCGAAAGGGUGCGUAACACGUAGCUAUCUACCUUCAAGUGGGGGAUAACGCCGAGAAAUCGGUGCUAAUACCGCAUGUGACUGUGAGGUUAAAAUCGGGGAUCGUAAGACCUGAUGCUUGAAGAUGAGGCUGCGGCCUAUCAGGUAGUUGGCGGGGUAAAAGCCCACCAAGCCUAAGACGGGUAGCUGGUCUGAGAGGACGACCAGCCACACUGGAACUGAGACACGGUCCAGACACCUACGGGUGGCAGCAGUCGAGGAUUUUUCUCAAUGGGGGAAACCCUGAAGGAGCGACGCCGCGUGGGGGAUGAAGGUCUUCGGAUUGUAAACCCCUGUCAUCCGGGAUCAAUGCACACCACCUAACACGUGGUGUGUUGCUAGUACCGGAAGAGGAAGCAGUGGCUAACUCUGUGCCAGCAGCCGCGGUAAUACAGAGACUGCAAGCGUUGUUCGGAUUCAUUGGGCGUAAAGGGUGCGCAGGCGGUGCGGUAAGUCGGGUGUGAAAUCUCGAGGCUUAACCUCGAUGGGUCAUUCGAAACUACCGCGCUCGAGGACUGGAGAGGAGACUGGAAUGGUUGGUGUAGCAGUGAAAUGCGUAGAGAUCAACCAGAACACCAGUAGCGAAGGCGGGUCUCUGGACAGUUCCUGACGCUCAGGCACGAAAGCCAGGGGAGCAAACGGGAUUAGAUACCCCG